GGACUAGGCUGGUCGUAAUACCAAAUCUUGAUAAAUCAGAACCUUCGGUCUACCAGUUGGAAUCCAAAGAAGAAUCCAAAGAAGAAUCCAAAGAAGACAUAGCUGCUUGCCUCAUUACUGACUAUUCGCCUGAUCCCAUCAACGUGGGGUAUAAUGGCAAUUUGGAACUUGUCAAUGGCUCUGCUGUGGUUGUGAAAGAAGACGGCAACAAAGAAUCGGCCAGCCUUGGGGUUGUCAUUUGGGGCAAAAAUGAAGAUCAGUUUCAAUGCUCUGCUACUCAUGGCGAGAAAUCCUACCCAGCUGAAAAAGAAGGGGAUGCUACAUGUAAAGCAACUUCGUCUGACACUCCAGUUUUCGAAACAGACGAAAGGUUGAAUCUUCUCUCUCUCACUGUACUGGGACUGAGAUUAAUAUUUUUCAAGAGCGUCGCCCUCAACCUGAUCCUCACCUUCUGGGCAUGGUCAAGAUGAGGAAGGACAGAAAAAUUUGGAAACGUAACUGGAACGUUGUAGAAUAAUCAUCCAGGACUUCAAUAUUUGACUCGACGGAAACAUGCUACCAACUUUCCUGCUUGCCUCCUCGGUUUUUAAACAAAACAGCUUCCCUUUUUAAAUCUUUCAUGGAACAGCUUUUUUUAAAAAAAAUCUAAGCAUCUUAUCAACCCCAAAUUCUCCUAUUGUUCAUCUCCUAAUGUACUAUACCGUCUUCUGAAUAUUAUGUGUUAAAACAUUUGCAGUGUAAUAAAGUUGGAUAUUUGAU